AAUUAUCACUAGUGAAAAAAAUAAAAAAGAAAAUUGCUUGGCGAAAUUGAAAGGCAAAAUCAAAGCAAGCAAAACUGGGGGAACGAACGAAGGCCACUUACUGCCCUCCACCGCCGCCAACUCCCUGUAUAUCAUAGCAGCCACCAUUCUCGCCGCCCUCCUCCUCCUUCGCCACCACCCUCUCGCUGCGUCCUCUUUCACAAUCGUCGAAAUGACGAAGACACCAAGUACCGCCAACCCACUGUCUCCUCCCCCUCCCUCCAUAGCCUACCUUAUAUUUCGGAUCCGGCAAGGAUUUCGGAUACGCUUUCUCCACUCCGUCUACCACCCCAGAAUUCACUACCUCCUCCAACUCGACCGCUUUUACGGAGUGCGCGGAAUGUUCAUCAGUCUUUCGGUUUCUGAUUAUCCGCUUGUUACUCAAGAUGAUCAAGGAUAUUGAAAUGAAUAAUUGUUGAUUCUCCAUUCUCCAUGGCAGAAAACAGCGAGAUUUUUUAUAACACUGAAAAGAGAUAGCUCCCUGAUGCAUAUCGGUUGUUCAGAGGUUCUCCGGCAGCUAUUUUGAGCCGCAAGUUCGUUGAGUUUUAUAUCUUGGGUGCAGACAACGUUCCCAGGACUCUGCUAAUGUACGUGUCCGACAUGCCAGCAUCGACUUCCUGUUUGCUUCCCAACCGUCCUAUGCAAUUCACAUCAACUCGGUCAAACCACUAUCAGCAACAGCUUGCACCGUGGCUAUCUCAACUCCAGACAGUAACCCAACUCGCUGAAUUCCAGCAACUUUGACGAACUGAUCAAGAGCAUUAUGGCCUUUGCCUCACCAUUUCCCCCAAACUAUCCCAUUCUUGGCCGCAAAGAA